rnacentral:rRNA from 1 species
AGAGAAUAGAUACCCGGGUAGUCCUGGCCGUAAACGAUGUCGACUAGAUCGUAGUGCCUCUGACGGUAUUACGGUCGAAAGCAAAAAAGUGCUAAGUCGACCGCCUGGGAAGUACGGUCGCAAGGCUAAAACUCAAAGGAAUUGACGGGGGCGUCACACAAGCGGUGGAGCAUGUGGUUCAAUUCGAAGCAACGCGCAGAACCUUACCUGGGCUUGACAUGCUAGGAUUAUCCCUAUGAAAGUAGGGUAGGCCCGUAAGGGGAACAACUAGUACAGGUGCUGCAUGGCUGUCGUCAGCUCGUGUCGUGAGAUGUCGGGUUAAGUCCCUUAACGAGCGAAACCUUUGCCCUUAGUUACCAGCGGGUUAUGCCGGGGACUCUAAGGGGACUGCCGGUGUCAAACCGGAGGAAGGUGGAGAUGACGUCAAGUCCUCAUGGCCUUUAUGCCCAGGGCCACACACGUGCUACAAUGCGGCGCACAAAGCGGACCUAAAGCGCAAGCUCAUGGAAAUCGCAGAAAUCGCCGCCCAGUUCAG